rnacentral:RNase_P_RNA from 1 species
CGACCAAAGCGGAUAAUUGCUUAUAUCCCCCGAUAUAAGAGGAAAGUCCGAGCUUCACAGGGCAGGACGCAGGCUAACGGCCUGUGGGGGCGACCCCAAGGACAGUGCAACAGAAAUAAACCGCCCCCGCUUCGCUUCGGCGACGCGCCGGGCAAGGGUGGAAAGGUAGGGUAAGAGCCUACCCGGCCUUUGGCGACAAGGGUUGUGUCUGUAAACCCCGUCCGAAGCAAGGCAAAUUAAACCGGCCCCCUGGGGGCGGGGGCGGCCCGUCCCUUGGGAAACUUCGGUUUAGGUACGCCGCGCGAGCGCGCUGGCAACAUCGCGCCAAGAUAGAUAAUUAUCAAAAACAGAACUCGGCUUACGGCUUUGGUCGAUUA